rfam:Danio rerio chromosome 11 genomic contig CTG1054, GRCz11 reference primary assembly.
GGGGGUAUGGCUCAGUGGUAGAGCAUUUGCUUGCAGAUCAAGAGGUCCCCAGGUGCCCCCU